rnacentral:rRNA from 1 species
UACAGAGGUCUCAACCGUUGUUCGGAUUCAUUGGGCGUAAAGGGUGCGUAGGCGGUCGUGCAAGUCGGAUGUGAAAUCUCAGGGCUCAACCCUGAAACUGCAUUCGAUACUGCGCGGCUAGAGUGCUGGAGGGGAGACUGGAAUUUACGGUGUAGCAGUGAAAUGCGCAGAUAUCAGGAGGAACACCGGUGGCGAAGGCGGUUCUCUGGGCAUUACCUGACGCUGAGACGCGAAAGCGUGGGGAGCAAACAGG